rnacentral:rRNA from 1 species
CCUGGUGUCCAUGGCGCUGUGGCCCCACACCGAUCCAUCCCGAACUCGGUUGUGAAACGCAGCAGCGGCGACGAUAGUUGGGGGUAGCCCCCUGAGAAAAUAGCUCGAUGCCAGGU